GACGAACGCUGGCGGCGUGCCUAAUACAUGCAAGUCGAGCGAAGUUUUUCUGGUGCUUGCACUAGAAAAACUUAGCGGCGAACGGGUGAGUAACACGUAACGAACCUGCCUCAUAGACUGGGACAACUAUUGGAAACGAUAGCUAAUACCGGAUAACAGUAUUUCUCGCAUGAGAGAUAUUUAAAAGUUGGUUAUGCUAACACUAUGAGAUGGCUUUGCGGUGCAUUAGCUAGUUGGUGGGGUAAAGGCCCACCAAGGCGACGAUGCAUAGCCGACCUGAGAGGGUGAUCGGCCACACUGGGACUGAGACACGGCCCAGACUCCUACGGGAGGCAGCAGUAGGGAAUCUUCCGCAAUGGGCGAAAGCCUGACGGAGCAACGCCGCGUGAGUGAAGAAGGAUUUCGGUUCGUAAAGCUCUGUUGUUAGGGAAGAAUGGAUAUGUAGUAACUAUACAUGUAAGAGACGGUACCUAACCAGAAAGCCACGGCUAACUACGUG
rnacentral:rRNA from 1 species